UUUCUUUCCUUAUUGCUUUUCAGUUUUAACAGUUUCACUUCUACCCAAAGACUAGAGCCUGUAUGAAAAUGCUUUCAGUUCAGCUGGGCCUCUUCCUAUCUUAUCAAAUAACAUUAGCUUACACUCCAUUUAUACCACAUAUAUCCUUAGAAACUCUCUUAGCUUUUAACCUGCCAUGUAGAUUAAGACCUCAUUACAUUUCAUACUGUCUUCGGCAUGAUCAUGUUACCUAAUGUUAAAGAUUUUGAAGCAACAUAAUCAGCACUGAUACAGAAUGAAAGCAGAGGGAUCUUUCAUCAUAUGGUUGCUUGUGGCUUCAUUUGCUAGAAUAUGCUCUCAGUUCGGUCUGCUCUGCAUUGAUGCAUGUGGUCUGUCUGGACAAAGCUAACUGACUGUUUCUGAAUUUAAAUGAACACAUCCAUGCUCAUAGAUCAACCGUGGGUACCUGAUAAUCCAUAAAUGUGUGCAUAUAUGUACAGACAUGUAUGCACAUACAUAUAUUUAUUUCAUAUUUUAUAAUCUUGAAUAAGCACAGGAAUAAAGUUCUUCUACAUUUUUCUGGCACUUCUCACAAAUCUGUAGAAAAAUGUUUUUUUGGAAAGGAAUAACUGAAAUCAAAUUGGGGAAUGCGCUCUUCUCCUGCUUCAGCGUUUGCAUUAUAGCAGCUACAGGCAACUGUUUCUGAGACUGACAUUUUUUAAUUUGAACAGAGUAAACAAAAGAAAUUGCUGUUAGUCCAGUUUUGUUGAUACGUUACAAAAAUACCAAAGGACUUGUUCUGUUUUCUCGAUCACCACUCCCAUCGCAGUGAAUACUUUUGCUACCAAUCCAGACUUCAAAAUCUACUAUCCCGGCAACAUUUCUGGUCCUCUGUCACAGAAAAUCCUGAGAAAGAGUGAAAAAGAGCUCUCAGUCUUAUACAACACAUGUCCCUUGAGGAUAUGAGCAUUUCACAACAGUUCUGUAUUUGCCUUAAAGACAAGUAAUUUAACUGAAAGGAUGCAGUCCAUUGCUGGCGUGCAGAGCAUAGGCAGGAGCUGCCCACAGCAGCAGCAGGAGCACAGAAAUUGAAUUCAAGUUUUCCAGCAGUUUGACCUGGAGGUCUAACAUUUCUUUUCCCAUUUCUCCUCUGGGUGCUCAGCUAAUCAUCCAUAAGUCUUUGUCAGGGCAUGAUGAGACCUCCCUACAGGAGAGCACUGAUCAACAAUCCUUCAAUGCGUUUCUCCACUUACUUUCACUCUUAAAAUGAUUCUUUCUGUUCCAAAGGAUUAGGCAGUGUAAUGACAUCGUAUCAUUUUCCUCUUAGAAGCACCUUGGAUUGACUAUUUUUUGUGAGGGAUAAAAAUAAGGAUGAAAGAGGAACAGAAGAAAGAUCAGCUCUCCACAGAUGCUUGGUAUAAUCUUCUCCUCUGACAAACUGCCCCUCUCAGCUUAUCCCUCCAAACCAAUCUCCUCCCCUGUGCCAAGGAAGAACUACAAACCCAGCAGGAUGAGGCCCUCCCCUGCCUUAGCCCCAAUAGCCACUCAGAGGGCUUCCCCGUGUCACAUCCGCUGUAAACUCCGCCAUGCUUUUCCUGUGUCUGCACAACAUCUCAGCUCAUUAGGGAGACACGAGAUAGCAGAAGGCCCGAUACGGCUUGCUGUGGAUCUCCUGAGCCUGCGAGAUCCUACUUCCCCUAUCACGCAUGCAUGGGACCCUUCACUUUAACCCAGCCAUGCCUUUUGUCUGAAGGGGAGAGACUAUUUAUGAGGAGUCAUACAAAAUAAACAUGAAGAGUUCACCAUAAAAUAUGACAACCACUUUAAAUAAUGUUGACUUAAUUAAACUUUAAACUUUAUUUAUAUAUUUUAUGGCUGUAGUGUGAGCUCUUCUCGGAUGUUUACUUCAGUGAAAAAUCCAUCAUGUGAGGGCCUUGAAAGGAAUUAAUCCCCUUACCCCUGGCACAGAACUCAGCUCCAACAAUUCAGAUCUAAAUAUUUAGUGAUGGAUGAUACAUGUUUAUAGAACAGAGGGCAGCAUGACAUUUAAAUGGGAUCCGGGGUUGCUAUAGUGAGCGUACAUUGUUGAAAAGAAACGGGAAGCUGAAGCCAUGCCAAUUAUCGGAAGCUGAUAAGUCAGCUCCUUUUUGCCUGAUUUUUUUUCCCUUCCAUCUUUCCCUUCUGGGUUUUCAAAGGCUUCUUCACAGAGGGUUAUGAGCAAUUUUCAGAAGGAAAAGUUCUGCUGACUCUUGUACAUUUGGUAGUGCAUCCCAUGGUUAAACUAAUAGCCUUGUUGGGUGUCAGCCAAAGGUUACAGGCCUCUCAAAAUAUUCUUGGAAAAAAAAAGAGUUUAUCACUGAACUGAAGUUUCUCAUUAGUAACCCUCUGUUGUCUAAUCUGUGAAAUUACAUGAUUAACUCUUUUGCAGAGACAGUUUCAGCCAGAGUUUGCAAUCCCACAGGAAGUUAUUAAAAGUAUCACCAAGAUAAUUUCCCUGCUUUGUACUUGGCCCUCAGGGUAAAGGAAAUACAUCAUUAGACGAGUACUUUAUAAUAAAGCUAUAGAUCACUAACAAUUAUUAAAUGGCUGUCAAGAAUGAUUAUUAUUUUAAAAGUUGAGGACUGUGUAAUUUGAAAAACAAAUAAAAAACCUUGAAAGAAAUUACUUCCUUUGUUUUUGUAUAGAAAUUAGAAACAUGCCCUCUCCCCCAUUCUCUUUGAAGUGAUUGGAAUAUAAUCUUCCUCUGUACACAGCCGUCUUACCUUCAACAUUUCUUUUUGCAUCCCUAAAAAUACUCUUAAGGAAAGCAUCAGCUCACUAUUGAGAUGAAAUACCUCAGGGACACAGAGGAUAGCAGGACUUUAUUGCACAUGUUGAGAUGUUCAUGAGCUGUGAACUCCGGAUGCUUCAAGUCACUGAAGCAGAGGUGGUGGUCCUUGGAUUUUGGUGAAAGUUGAACUCAGGGAUAUUUUGGACACAGAAUACUUUCCAAUCAUGUGUUCUAGCUGAAGUCACUUGCAGAUGUUUUUCAUGAUUUGUUGUGCUUGUUUCUGGCUUCCUUAUGAGCUCCUCCCAGAUCAAUGGGUGCUUUGGUUUGCAUGUUUUGGGAGGAGGGGUGACAGUUAGGAUCUGUAUUAUCCUCCCCAGCUAGUUACCAAGGCUUUUAUUAUUAUUAUUAUUAGUAGUAGUAGUAUUAGUAUUAGUAUUAUUAUUUUAUUAUUGUUAGUGGAAAAGUGGUGAGAAGGAGAUGCCAGCCAUGCCUACACAGACAUCCAGGCUGUGAGAGUGAUCCUGUGAUGCAGUUGUCCUGCAGGGAUGGUGGUGGGAGAUCCAGAUGGAUCACGUGAAAGUCGUUAGAGGUUUGAAAGAUGUGAAGCAUUUGGAACCAUGAACCAAGAAGGGCUUUUCUGGUACUCAAAUUACAUCGAGCCAAACAAUUCUGCACUACAGACAUCAGCUUUAUAGCCAUCAGAAAACAGAUGGAAUUCAAAAUAUAGUAAAUUUGUUCCUCUGAGCAACUAUAAAAUGAAGACGGGUACCAUACACCUGUAAGAAAAAAGUAUUCAUAUUCCUGUGAUAAAUCAGCUCUUUCAUCCAAGUUGAUUUUAGGAAUUAACCACACAUCCUCACAGCUCAGCAUUCAUGGUUUCAUCUCAUUAUGGUGCCUCAGUAUGACUAAUGCAUGCAUGCAGUAUCACCUAGGAGAGCUGAAAUCUAGUCUCAGCUGCAUAAAUGUUCUAUCAGGUCAAGUGAUUUGAUCUUUUUAGGCCACGUUAUUUCUUUCCCUAAUAACUUCUUCCUGACCUUAUGUAAGCCAUGAUCUCCUAAGAGAGAAGUCAGUAAACUGUAUAAACACAAAAUACAUUCAUACAUUUUCAAUAUACACAUAAUUUUUGAAGAAUUAGAAUUUAGAAUGGUGCUGUUCCUCACAACAUUUCAUAUCACUUUCAUUGGUUAAAACUGGUAUCAUUUUAAGUGUUUAAAAUAAAAUUCACUCAUAUCUGCUCAUUCUUAUUUUUGAAAAGUGAUCUGAGAAUGGCCUGGAUUAAUUCUUAAUCCUUUCAAAGCUUAACCUAAGAUCUACAUGUCCAGCACUUUUCAUGAAGUUUAAAUAGGGGAGGAAACUUUGUCUAAUUUGGUGUAUUCCUCUAGUUCUAGUUUCUAAAAAUAAAAUGACUGGAAGCCAUCCGUGCAAGAUACGGUAACUCAGGCUCUGUAACCUUGCAUGAUCUGCAAAUGGAAGAGAAUUAAUUUUUGUGGCAAUUUGUAGUAAAGAAAGGAGAGAGAAAAUUUUCUCUACUGUCAUUAGCUGAUUUAAAAAGAGUUGACUUUUUAUUCUUUCUGCAGAAAAUCUUCAGACACAAAAAAAUCUGGAAUAUAUUCAAAGUUCUUCUGCCUAAAUAAAUUCAACCUAAAUCUUUUGAGGUUACUUUAUUACAAAGGGUGAGGCCUGAAUUUCAACAUGAGGUGAAAACCUUUGAAGAUCCAUCAGAUCUCCAGAGGAGUACUACAGGAUUUGCAAAAGGGAGCUCAGAGAAAUACAUUCCCAAAUAGAAAGUUUUAGCUGUCUAUGCAGGUAUCCAUAAUUCCAUGGAAAAACUUACAGGAGUCUGCAGACUGUAAAACACUGAACAUACUGACAUACAUGCUGCGUGCAUAUCUUCAGAAUAGAAAAGCAUUACUAAAAAAACCUACAAAUGUUAAUACAAAAUCUUUCAGUCGUGGCUCUGUCUUUGAACUGGGAUUUUAUAGCAUAGAUCUCUGAAACUGUACAAGAUAACCAAAUGUGCACUUCAGAGCAGAUCAGAAAAACAGUAUCUAUCAACACAAUUCUGAUUUGGGGGAUGAAUUAAGUAUGCAAUUUUCUUCCUGCAGUUUCUCAUUCUCAGGAGUUGUACUCUCACUGAAGUUGUGAAACAAUGGGGAAACAUUAAUUCAUAUAAUUAGAGAUAUUGCAACUUUAUGCAUGCGAGAGAAUCAAUGUAAUUAGAGACCAGGAAGACAUCGGUUCUUGCAGAUGAAUGUUUCCAUCAACACACAGAGCAGGUAAUACCUCAUUCUGCCGUUAUCUACUGUGCAUCUGAUACUUCCAAGAGAUAUAUAUAAGUGUACUUUUGAUUUUACUGUUGUUUACAUCUUUAGAUCUCUGGGAGUAGCUGUUGUUUUGUUUUCUUCUCAAAACCAGUUUGAUGCAGCUGACAAUUGAGCUUCUUUCUGCACUAGUGACUCAUUUUCCUUCUUUCUCUACUGAUUUCCCUUACCUCUAUCAUGCAAGAAAAAGGUCACACAGGUAGAAAAGAUAGCUCCAGCAUCUGAUCAAAGUUGUAUUUUAGAUCACAACAUAACUCUUGCAGGAGAAAUCUUGUGUAACUCUCUUUUCACUAAAAAAAAUAUGGCCCCAUUAUAUUUAAAUUACUUUUAUUGGUUCCCAUUCUAUUUUGAGAGAUGUUGGCCCUGGUUGUUUGUGUCCAAAAUGCAAUUUAAUCAUCAGCCAGUGAAAGAUUAUGAUCUGUAUGUAUUCGUGGCAUUUGCAAAACAUGAUGAUAACUCUAUAUUGCCUCUUCUGGGAAGACGGAAGAAAGCUCUCCUCUGGAGAUGGAUGUUUCCAACAACAUCUCCCUUCCCUGCCACCAAGUGGCUGCUUUGCAUCGCUGGAGGCAGUAGGAAUACAGCAGAUUGCAACUCAAGGAGAACCUCUCAUCUUCUCAUCACUCUGCUUCAGGUCUGAGAUAAACCAGCAAACAUACUAAUGAAGACAAGAACUGUCCUGAGGAAAUACCUCCUAUUAGUUAAUAAGCAGACACAGUGGUCUGGAUUAGGAAGGAACAUGACAACAUUGUUGAAAAUGAAGAUGUGUAUCCUCAGUGAAGCCAAUGAGUCCACAGAAGCCAGGACUGUGUAACCUGCUGCUGCACAUCAGGAUUCCAGAAGAGGAAAUGAACACUACGAAUAGUGAGAGCAAUAAUACACAAGGGGCCUACUUUACUGCUAUUGUUUCUUCUUCUGUAAUACCCCUGGUGAGUUUUCAGAGAUGGCAGGGAGCAAGUGCAACCAUAGUGCAAGUGAAAUUACCAUCCUUACUAUUGACCAAUGAUAGGAGAAAACCUCACAUCAAGAAUGUGCUCAAGUCAUCCAAGAUCAAAUGAAGACUAUCAGAUGAAUAGUUAUUACACUCCUCCCAGGAGCAAAUGAGAGAUGGGAACCCUCAGGAUGGGCAGAGCCAUCCAUGCUGAACACUUGCUGUCUCCAGCCUUGCACAAAAUUAAUGUUACAGACGGAUACCUAUGUUUCUAAAGCCUCGAUGCUGCUAUACUUUAAUAUCUUGAACUAAAUUAAUGGGUGAGACAGCAAAAACAGCCCAACAUCCUUCUUUCCCUUUCUUCUUCCUCUCAAAAAAACACUUAUUUUGGAGUGAAAUAAGAUUAAAACUUGUGUUUCAGUGGAGCUUACCUGAAGCAAGAACAUAUUAGAACUUCUCCAGAAUAAUAUUUCCAUCUUAAGACAUCUAAAAAUGUUAAUUAUUGGACAUUAAUAGCCGGAAAUAUUGCAAAAUAAAAUUGUUAAAAGUCAAAGUUAUGUCAACAAUAAUUACUUUGCUGUCCAGGUAUUAUUCAAGCUUACCAGAAACCUCAAUAAACAAAUAAAAACCACAGAUCUUGAUGACUUUUUG
ensembl:lncRNA